rnacentral:rRNA from 1 species
UGGUGGAGCGAUUUGUCCGGUUAAUUCCGAUAACGAACGAGACUCUGGCCUAUUAAAUAGUUCGCCGAUUCCGAUCUGUCGGCGUUAACUUCUUAGAGGGACAAGUGGCUUUUAGCCACGCGAGAUUGAGCAAUAACA